CCGGGGCUGAGGGGCGAGGACCGAGGAGCGCGCGGAGGAGCGGGGUGAAGUCCCACGCGGGUAUGGGAGAGAAUGAAGUUCUUUGUCUCUAAGGGAUUCAAACCAGAAACGGAGGGACCUCUGGUUCCCAGAGGGAGGAAAAUCCAUGAUGUCUGCUGCCCAGGGAGCUAUUGCCACCGCCUCCUUGGGAUGAAGUAUUGCCAGCUACCAACAGUUCCUUCCCAACGGCCAUCUUCCAGCCUUCUUAAACGACUCCUAGCAUCUUCGGGAGGCUCCUGAAGGACUGAAGCAAAGGAAAUCUCUGAAGGGAUUUAGUCCUUGAAAGGGAGUAGGGAUACUUAGGGUGUUCUGUGUUGAGCGCUUCUUCCUAUCUCUCCAGCUUCAUGUAUGUGUGUCUUUAUGUCCAAGCAAUUGAGCCAACAAGUCCUCAGAAUUCCUUGUGAAAAAAACGUUUUUUUUUUUUGAGACGGAUUCUCACUCUGUCGCCCAGGCUGGAGUGCAAUGGUGAAAUUCAGCUCACUGCAACCUCCGCCUCCGGGGUUCAAGCGAUUCUCCUGCCUCAGCCUCCCGAGUAGCUGGGAUUACAGUCACGCGCCACCACGCCCAGCUAAUUUUGUAUUUUUAGUAGAGACAGGAUUUCUCCUUGGUCAGGCUGGUCUGGAACUCCCGACUUCAGGUGAUCCGCCCGCCUCGGCCUCCCAAAGUGGUGGGAUUACAGGUGUGAGCCACCGUGCCCAGCCCUGAAAUAGUCUUAAUUGCUUGUUUUUCUUUUUUGUCUGAGGUGUGCUUUUUAAAAUCUCUAUGGAGAUGGAGAAGACUGACAUUCUCUGGCCUGAUGUGAAAACCUCUCAUUAAAACUGUGUCUGUGCUUUGUGGGCUGAAAGCAUGAAACACUGGAAAUUUUAAACAAACGUAUGUGAAUGUGUUAAGAAGCCAAGAGUCCGGCCCUCUUUCACCAGACUGUAUGGCCUCAGAUCAGCAAGGGAAGUAUUGAGCUUAGGGACACCAAGUAAUGGAGUGAGCAGGGAUGAGAGGGCACAUAGAAUGUGGUGAUCUCUUUCCAUGUCAAGGCUUGUGUGUUUGUGGCACUGGGGUCUUGCUGUGUCCCCAAGGCUAGAGUACAGUGGCACAAUUAUGGUUCACUGCAGCCUCAACCUCCAGGGCUCAAGUGAUCCUCCCACCUCAGUCUCCUAAGUAGCUGGGACAACAGGCUUGGGCUGCCACACCUGGCUAACUUUUUAUUUUUUUGUAGAGACGGG
rnacentral:lncRNA from 1 species